UACGGAGGGGGCUAGCGUUGUUCGGAAUUACUGGGCGUAAAGCGCACGUAGGCGGCUUUGUAAGUUAGAGGUGAAAGCCCGGGGCUCAACUCCGGAAUUGCCUUUAAGACUGCAUCGCUAGAAUUGUGGAGAGGUGAGUGGAAUUCCGAGUGUAGAGGUGAAAUUCGUAGAUAUUCGGAAGAACACCAGUGGCGAAGGCGACUUACUGGACACAUAUUGACGCUGAGGUGCGAAAGCGUGGGGAGCAAACAGG
rnacentral:rRNA from 1 species